rnacentral:rRNA from 1 species
CAAUAGCGUAUAUUAAAGUUGUUGCGGUUAAAAAGCUCGUAGUUGGAUUUCUGCUGAGAACGACCGGUCCGCCCUUUGGGUGUGUAUCUGGCUCUUUCUUGGCAUCUUCUUGGUGAACGUUGCUGCACUUGACUGUGUGGAGCGCUACCCAGGACUUUUACUUUGAGGAAAUUAGAGUGUUUCAAGCAGGCAUACGCCUUGAAUACAUUAGCAUGGAAUAAUAAGAUAGGACCUCGGUUCUAUUUUGUUGGUUUCUAGAGCUGAGGUAAUGAUUAAUAGGGAUAGUUGGGGGCAUUCGUAUUUAACUGUCAGAGGUGAAAUUCUUGGAUUUGUUAAAGACGGACCACUGCGAAAGCAUUUGCCAAGGAUGUUUUCAUUGA